CAGUGACCCACAAGGGCGCGAGGACUUUUGGAACAUCCUGAGGACGGGCAGAGGCGGGCUCUGCCUGCUGUACCAUGGCGGCCGGAAGUGCACGAUUCUCUGCGAAGGAAUCCGAGUCCUGACGAAGAUAGCGGAGGUGGGAGCGGAAGAGCCUCGGGUAGUCGAUGAAUCUGAGCGGGGUCGCGGGCGGUGAAAGGCAGAGAGGGAGUGUUGGGGCCACAGGUCCCAGAGAGCACGUAGCCAGGCGAGGCCCGGUUGGGAGCGAGGGGCCUUGCUGUGGGUGCCCGAGGCAAGGCGACAGGAGGCGAAUCACCGCGCCUUACAAGGGAAAUUGAGUGCAGAUGGCCAGAAGUAGGGAGAUCAGCAAAGAGGCAGUGGCCAGAAUCCCAACCAGAGAUGGUGGCAGCUCAGCUCAUCACGGAAGACUUGGAGCUGUGGACAGAAGAGCUGAGUCCAGAGUGCUUAUUUGAAAUGUAGGGACCCAGGCAUGGUGGAGGAGAUUAUCCUGACCCUAUAGAGACUUGGGAGCCCAUUGUCACGGCACAGGAAGCCCAUCGCAACGCGUGACUCCUGGAAUCGCGUGCACUCGUGAGACGGAUAAAACCCUUCACACCCCGGCCACCUGGGGUAGGGAGCCCAGCGCCCUAUGGAGCACCUCUUGUCCCCUAAGGCAGGACAGCUCAUCCCAUGUCACUUCUCAGAGGACAACGACCACAUGCACACCACUGGGUCCCCGACCGUCAACACCUGUCAGAUGGCAACGGGCUAAGAACAAAAGACCUUUGUGGAUCGCUUGGCACCAUCUGUGGGGUGGAAUUCUCCGCACAGCUGCCGCCCACAUUUUAUGUCAUCCCUCCGUGGAAAGAAGGCGACAUGGCAUUCAGAUGGGUGUUGAGCAGCGACAGAGGUCUUGCUUUUCAAGGGAGGGGGAGGCAGCCUGUCCACUGUCAGAGCCCACAGGUCAGGUAACUGGCCCAAAAGAAAGAGGAAGUUUCCUUAUCCACCCAGCUCAUCUGAAAUUGACAGCAGCUCCCUCCUUGCCAUGUGAGUGGAAGAAUUGAUAUUUUGCAUGGUGCCGUUUUAUGCCAUCUGUGACAGCGGAUUUAAAAAUCUGACACCAAGAAUUUGCUGUUCAGUGAUGAGCAGGACAGACAUGCAGCUGUCCAUUUGGCUGUUUUGUCAGAAUCCAGGAAAACACUGACGUUUUACACUGGCCCGAAUGGCUAAUGAUUGUCUAUUUUCCUAUAUCUCAGCUGUUCCUCUCUUUGGAUUUCCACAUUUCAAGUCCACAGCAUCAGAGAGCCAAGGAGAGAGGGCAGAGGGCACCCCCCGAAGGUGUAACAUGGUGAUGGUAAACCCUUCAGAGCAUUCAGUGAUACAAACUGCCCACUGCAGCACCUCGUGCCCUGACUAAGGAGAACCUUUAGGGAGCAAAUUUUUUGAUCUGUGAAUUGUAUUUCAGUUUAGAUGGUACAGAGGGGCUACACAGCCCUUAUUCAAGUGUUCGCACCUGUAUCUACUUCUGCUCUCCUUUUGAAGCAAGUAUAUGUGUAAAAUGAAGACUGUCUCUUGGCAGUGGCAGAACACUGGCUUCCCUUCCCUCUCCGAAUGUAGACCUUUUGGUUAUUUCACAUUUUAUACUUCCUAUCUACAGGUUUUUCUACUUUAGUUACACUUUGUGCAGCAUUUUCUAUAUUUGUAAUUUACUUUUUAUCUAGAUCAGCAUACAUUGUCCAUGACCAUAAGAAUCAAUGUUGUUACUUGUGCUGGCAUUUGCUGUUUACAUCCCCUGGUAUUGACAGAAUUAUGCCUUCGCUGAGGGCCACUUUCUGCAUACCAGGCUCUGCUCCAGAUGCCCCUUGAGGUACCACACUGCUGGUGCCAGGUCACCCACACCUCACCCGCCGCCCUGCACCCAGUCCCAGCCCUAAGGAGCCAUCCGGCAGCUGUCACACAUGCACAUCCCUCCCUCUUGGGUGAGACUGCCUCUGCCUGUGUUCUCACCCGUGUGUCCCUGGGGCUGGCCCACUUCAAUUCUCCCUUUCCUAAGACUGCCCUCCACCUGCAGAAACCGGUCAGUGCAUUGUGCUGAAUUGCAGGAGGCAGGCCCAAGGUCAGUGAGAAUUAUGCCCUCUCUCCUGAGCCUGGGCUGUCCCCUCGAAGCUCUGGAGUGGCUGCAGAUGCUUGAAGCCUGU